rnacentral:rRNA from 1 species
UACGUAGGUGACCAGCGUUGUCCGGAUUUACUGGGCGUAAAGAGCGCGCAGGCGGUCGUUCAAGUCGAGUGUGAAAGCCCCCGGCUCAACUGGGGAGGGUCAUUCGAUACUGAUCGACUCGAAGGCAGGAGAGGGAAGCGGAAUUCCCGGUGUAGUGGUGAAAUGCGUAGAUAUCAGGAGGAACACCUGCGGCGAAGGCGGGUUGCUGGGCCGACACUGACGCUGAGGCGCGAAAGCUAGGGGAGCGAACGGG